AACCUAGAAACAGAAAAACAACCAGACCAAACCAGAGCAACGUUUCACCAACUCCUGAAGAAAAGUCAGAAGUUCAACCAACAACCAAACCUGGAAACAAAACGUCAAGAACAACCACCAGACCAAAACCAGACAAUGUUUCAAAAAUCUCUGAAGCUCUGUGCCGUUUCAUCAUCGUCUCUGUGGCUUUAGCUGCUCUUUCACUAACUGUUGUGAGCGUCAAUAUUUGGACAAGAACUAAAAUGAGGAAGAGAAAUGAAACAGUUUGAUAAU